rnacentral:piRNA from 1 species
GUGUAGCAUGUGAUGUCUACAUUCAGUUU